rnacentral:rRNA from 1 species
AUGGCCGUCAUCCUCUGGGACAACCCUACCGCUAAAAAAAAGGAAAACCUGCCGUCUCCGGCCACCACGACUCUCCUCCGCCGCCAUCCCCUGCGACGGCCACCUACCCCACACCUGCCGUCCGCUGCGACAGCCCCCUACCCCACACCUGCCGUUCGCCGCCGGCCAUCACGGCUCUCCUCCGCGCGCAUCCCUUUGCGACAGUCACCCCCUGCUGUCCGCCGCCGGCCACGACCGCUCUCCUUCGUUGCCACCACCUCCGCUGCCUGGCCUGGGCUAUUAUGCAUGGCUGCGGGUGAAGGAUGCGGGAGAAGAGUUGAUUUCCUUGUGCAAUCGGGGAAGAGUCUGUCUAUUUGA